GCCUUACAAGAAAGACAUGGCCUGAAGUUUAAGACCUGAGGUGAUGAGAAGGAGAGUAUUUCUGAACUAGUGUGUGGAGAUAAUCUGGUGCUGAGCCAACCCUUUGAGGCCUGGAAUACAAGGACAAAAGUUUUGAAUUUGAUUCCCACUGCAACAGGAACCCUGUUUAGUGAUCUCGGUGAGUGAGUCAUUGCGAGGGUAUGAACCAGAGUACAACACCAGCUGCAGAGGACAUUCAAGGCCAACAAGUCUCUAUCCUCUCAGACACAGAUGUACAGGAGAUCAGAGACAGCAAGGAAGAGACGGACUCUUCUGCCCCCACCAUCUGCCCCCAAUAAUUUAGCAAGUCUUACGAGAGGAAAAAACAGCAUUAAUCACUUGGCCAUUAACUCCGAGUCAUAGCCAGAGGCACAAAUUUAAGGUCUUCUCACCAUCUGCUAUUGAAGUCAGAAGUGGAUAGAUGUAAAUGAAGUCUCUUUAUUAAGACUAGUUAAGGAAUGAUGGUCAUGGCCCAUAGCAAUGAUGAGAAAACAGGCUGAAUUUUUUUUUCCGAGCAGCUCACAGAAGAGCUAACAUCAUUAAGCAGGAUUGCCAGGUUUCAGCAAAACAUCUUGCACAACUACAAGAUAGUCUUUAAGAAAGCCUUUGACAAAA
ensembl:lncRNA